GACAGAGGCCGUCAAGCGUUAGGCGGAAUCCACUUGGGCGUUAAAGGCGUGUGUGAGGCGGAUCGUUAAGUGAUCUUGUGGAAAUCCCACGGCUCACCCGUGGAACGGGCUGGGCAUACUGGCGAAUCUUGGGCCAACUAGGGGCAACUGGAACAAGCGGUGGAGCGGUGAAAUGCGUAGAUAUCGCUUGGAACGCCAAAGGUGAAAACCAGGGUUGCUGGGGGUUGU
rnacentral:rRNA from 1 species